rnacentral:rRNA from 1 species
UGGGGAGUCUUGGACAAUGGGCGCAAGCCUGAUCCAGCCAUGCCGCGUGGGUGAAGAAGGCCUUAGGGUUGUAAAGCCCUUUCAGUCGUGACGAUGAUGACGGUACCCGCAGAAGAAGCCCCGGCUAAGUCCGUGCCAGCAGCCGCGGUAAUACGGAGGGGGCAAGCGUUGUUCGGAAUUACUGGGCGUAAAGGGCGCGUAGGCGGCAUAUCAAGUCAGAGGUGAAAGUCCCGGGCUCAACCUGGGAAUUGCCUUUGAAACUGAUAAGCUAGAGUCCGGAAGAGGAUAGCGGAAUUCCCAGUGUAGAGGUGAAAUUCGUAGAUAUUGGGAAGAACACCAGUGGCGAAGGCGGCUAUCUGGUCCGGUACUGACGCUGAGGCGCGGAAGCGUGGGGAGCAAACAGGAUUAGAUACCCCCGUAGUCC